rnacentral:rRNA from 1 species
AAUUUUGGACAAUGGGGGGAACCCUGAUCCAGCCAUCCCGCGUGUGCGACGAAGGCCUUCGGGUUGUAAAGCACUUUUGGCAGGAAAGAAAUCGCAUAGGAUAAUACCCUGUGUGGAUGACGGUAACUGCAGAAUAAGCACCGGCUAACUACGUGCCAGCAGCCGCGGUAAUACGUAGGGUGCAAGCGUUAAUCGGAAUUACUGGGCGUAAAGGGUGCGCAGGCGGUUCGGAAAGAAGGAUGUGAAAGCCCAGGGCUAAACCUUGGAACUGCAUUCUUAACUACCGAACUAGAGUAUGUCAGAGGGGGGUAGAAUUCCGCGUGUAGCAGUGAAAUGCGUAGAUAUGCGGAGGAAUACCGAUGGCGAAGGCAGCCCCCUGGGAUAAUACUGACGCUCAUGCACGAAAGCGUGGGUAGCAAACAG